rnacentral:rRNA from 1 species
ACGCUGGCGGCACGCCUAACACAUGCAAGUCGAACGAAGUAGCAAUACUUAGUGGCAGACGGGUGAGUAACAUGUGGGUAUCUGCCCUUUGGCCUGGAAUAACACGAGGAAACUUGUGCUAAUACCGGAUAAGUCUUUACGGAGAAAGCUUUAUGCACCAUUGGAUGAGCCCGCACUUGAUUAGUUUGUUGGUGGGGUAAUGGCCUACCAAGACUGUGAUCAAUAGCUGAUUUGAGAGGAUGAUCAGCCACAUUGGGACUGAGACACGGCCCAAACUCCUACGGGAGGCAGCAGUGGGGAAUCUUGCACAAUGGAGGAAACUCUGAUGCAGCGAUGCCGCGUGAGUGAAGAAGGCCUUUGGGUUGUAAAGCUCUUUCGUCGGGGAAGAAAAUGACUGUACCCGAAUAAGAAGGUCCGGCUAACUUCGUGCCAGCAGCCGCGGUAAUACGAAGGGACCUAGCGUAGUUCGGAAUUACUGGGCUUAAAGAGUUCGUAGGUGGUUGAAAAAGUUGGUGGUGAAAUCCCAGAGCUUAACUCUGGAACUGCCAUCAAAACUUUUCAGCUAGAGUAUGAUAGAGGAAAGCAGAAUUUCUAGUGUAGAGGUGAAAUUCGUAGAUAUUAGAAAGAAUACCAAUUGCGAAGGCAGCUUUCUGGAUCAUUACUGACACUGAGGAACGAAAGCAUGGGUAGCGAAGAGGAUUAGAUACCCUCGUAGUCCAUGCCGUAAACGAUGUGUGUUAGACGUUGGAAAUUUAUUUUCAGUGUCGCAGCGAAAGCGAUAAACACACCGCCUGGGGAGUACGACCG